UGAAGUUGACGUUUCCAUGUGUACAAUGAGUAGACAGGAAUGCAGGUUUCCUAUUUUAGCCUAUCGUGAAUUUUCAUUUCUUCGGCACUAACAUACUGUGGGUGUCGUAUACUUUAAAUUUUCAUUUUCACCAGUAAACAUUUUGAAACUAACUACAAAAGAAACGCGUGUCUUAUUGAUAAACCCUUAUGUUGAACCGCCCGGAUUAUAUAGGAAAUUUACAAAUGUUUGAAAUAGUAUCCGACUUCACUCACUGACGUCAUAUCUGUUCUGAUAUAUCAACAGUGGAUUCGUGAGGAAAUUAAAACUACAAAGAACAACGAAUCUUAAGAAAGAUGUCGAAAACUUACUACGCCAAAAAGAAGACUGUGGCCGAAGGCCUAAUGGACGUGGGCCUGAUGAUAGCCAAUACGAGCCAGUUAAAGAUUGUAAUUGAGGCUGGAUCCGCCCACAGAUACUACUGGCCUCUCAUAGUGCUCAUUAGCAUUACGCUCCUCCUACAAGUGUGCGUGGGCGUUCUCAUCCUGGUCCUUGGGUUAACGGAGGACAAUGAAGAAGAAGACCCGAGGUCUAGUAAGAUCAACAACAGCGUCGUGGGUCUAAUUUUUUUCAUCACAAUCCUAAACAUUUUUAUUGGCGGUUUUGGAAUAUCAGCAUCACCAUGAGAACGUGACUGCUGUAGGUCACGAUUCAGUGAUUCCAUUUUGUUCGUAAUUUUAGGACACACAAUUCAAGGGGUCCUAUUCUACAGUGUAGAAUAUAUAUUUCAUUUCCUUCAAUGGAACUAUAAUCCUUUUUGGUUGAUUACACACUGAUUACAAUGAAACGUCCUUUAAAAAAAUCGCAAUGGAUGAUCGCUGUUUUGAUGUCCAUUGGCAUCGAGUAUUUUCAAAGAAUACAAAUAGACCUACACAAAGUACAUAUUCUUUCUAGUGUCUGUACAAAAUGGAACUACCUGUACGUACUGUUGCCUGUUCCUUUUGCCUUUGUUAUUUCUUAGUCACCAUCAUAAUAUAAGUCACGAUUUUAAGACUUAAGGCGGUUAUAAAGAAGUGAAUUUGAUUCUAGCCUUAAACAAGUUAGUUUGAUUCCGGCCAUUCACACGUGAGUUUGAUUCCGGCUAUUAACAAGUGAGUUUGAUUCCGGAUAUAAAUAAAUGAGUUUUGUUCCGGCUAUAAACAAGUGAGUUUGAUUCCGGCUAUAAACAAGUGAGUUUGAUUCCGUCUAUUAACAAGUGAGUUUGAUUCCGGUUAUAAACAAAUUAGUUUUGUUCCGGCUAUAAACCAGUGAGUUUGAUUUCGGCUAUAAACAAGUGAGUUUGAUUCCGGCAAUAAACAAGUGAGUUUGAUUCCGGCUAUAAACAAGUGAGUUUGAUUCCGGCUAUUAACAAGUGAGUUUUCAGGAUAAAAACAUCCCUUCUUGAUCUCGUUGAAUGAUUAAGUUUUUUGUUACAAAAUAUCGCAAUUCAUUAAAUUUUCUCGGGACAAACUCACCGAGUGAAAUCAACAAUACGAUCCAAAUAAGUUAUUUUCAUAUUUUAUCCAAAUGAUACGGAUACAGAUCUUGUACUGAUUUUUGAUGAACAUAUCUUAAAUUUUAGCAGUAUGAUAUAAAUAUACAAUGUAGCCACCCUUGGGCCACAUGUACAUUCAAUUCAGAUACAAAAUGACCAGAUCAUGUAAAUUAAAUCUAUAAAUCGAUAAUGAAAUAAAUAUAAAUAUUUGCC